CCUACGGGGGGCUGCAGUGGGGAAUUUUGGACAAUGGGCGCAAGCCUGAUCCAGCCAUGCCGCGUGCAGGAUGAAGGCCUUCGGGUUGUAAACUGCUUUUGUGAACAGCUCGGUACCGUAAGAAUAAGCACCGGCUAACUACGUGCCAGCAGCCGCGGUAAUACGUAGGGUGCGAGCGUUAAUCGGAAUUACUGGGCGUAAAGCGUGCGCAGGCGGUUAUGUAAGACAGAUGUGAAAUCCCCGGGCUCAACCUGGGAACUGCAUUUGUGACUGCAUAGCUAGAGUACGGCAGAGGGGGAUGGAAUUCCGCGUGUAGCAGUGAAAUGCGUAGAUAUGCGGAGGAACACCGAUGGCGAAGGCAAUCCCCUGGGCCUGACUGACGCUCAUGCACGAAAGCGUGGGGAGCAAACAGGAUUAGAUACCCUUGUAGUC
rnacentral:rRNA from 1 species